AUUGAACGCUGGCGGCAUGCCUUACACAUGCAAGUCGAACGGUAACAGGUCUUCGGAUGCUGACGAGUGGCGAACGGGUGAGUAAUACAUCGGAACGUGCCUAGUAGUGGGGGAUAACUACUCGAAAGAGUGGCUAAUACCGCAUGAGAUCUACGGAUGAAAGCAGGGGAUCGCAAGACCUUGUUCUACUAGAACGGCCGAUGGCAGAUUAGGUAGUUGGUGGGAUAAAAGCUUACCAAGCCGACGAUCUGGAGAUGGUCUGAGAGGACGAUCAGCCACACUGGGACUGAGACACGGCCCAGACUCCGACGGGAGGCAGCAGUGGGGAAUUUUGGACAAUGGGCGCAAGCCUGAUCCAGCAAUGCCGCGUGCAGGAUGAAGGCCUUCGGGUUGUAAACUGCUUUUGUACGGAACGGAAAGCCCUGGGUUAAUACCCUGGGGUCAUGACGGUACCGUAAGAAUAAGCACCGGCUAACUACGUGCCAGCAGCCGCCGUAA
rnacentral:rRNA from 1 species